UGGCGGACUGGUGAGUAACACGUGGGUAACCUACCUAUAAGACUGGGAUAACUCCGGGAAACCGGGGCUAAUACCGGAUAACACAUGAAACCGCAUGGUUUCAUGAUGAAAGACGGUUUUGCUGUCACUUAUAGAUGGACCCGUGGCGUAUUAGCUAGUUGGUAAGGUAACGGCUUACCAAGGCAACGAUACGUAGCCGGCCUGAGAGGGUGAUCGGCCACACUGGAACUGAGACACGGUCCAG
rnacentral:rRNA from 1 species